UGUCUCUGGAUCACAGCCUCUU
rnacentral:misc_RNA from 1 species